GACGAACGCUGGCGGCGUGCUUAACACAUGCAAGUCGAACGGAAAGGCCCUGCUUUUGUGGGGUGCUCGAGUGGCGAACGGAUGAGUAACACGAGAGUAACCUGCCCUUGACUUUGGGAUAACUUCAGGAAACUAGGGCUAAUACCGGAUCGGUGCUCCCGCGGCAUGGGGGGGGUUGGAAAGUUUCGGCGGGUGGGGAUGGCCUCGCGGCUUAUCAGCUUGUUGGUGGGGUAGUGGCUUACCAAGGCUUUGACGGGUAGCCGGCCUGAGAGGGUGACCGGCCACAUUGGGACUGAGAUACGGCCCAGACUCCUACGGGAGGCAGCAGUGGGGAAUAUUGCACAAUGGGCGGAAGCCUGAUGCAGCAACGCCGCGUGCGGGAUGACGGCCUUCGGGUUGUAAACCGCUUUCGCCUGUGACGAAGCGUGAGUGACGGUAAUGGGUAAAGAAGCACCGGCUAACUACGUG
rnacentral:rRNA from 1 species